AUGGUAAUCCCUCCAUCUGAAAAAGCUUGUCCCUCAAAUGGACGUAUCUAGCACCAAGUUAGUGCUAGAUACGUCCAUUUGAGGGACAAGCUUGGGAAACAAGCUUUUUCGGACGGAGGGAGUACUUU
rfam:Triticum aestivum genome assembly, contig: Triticum_aestivum_CS42_TGACv1_scaffold_160492_2DL